GCCUUGCUGGCGCAAUGGUAGCAUGCCGGCGACCGUUGCCGGAGGCUACGGGUUCGAGUCCCGUGCAUGGCG